GAUGAACGCUGACAGAAUGCUUAACACAUGCAAGUCUACUUGAAUUUGGGUUUUUUCACUUAGAUUUGGGUGGCGGACGGGUGAGUAACGCGUAAAGAACUUGCCUCACAGUUAGGGACAACAUUUGGAAACGAAUGCUAAUACCUGAUAUUAUGAAUAUAUGGCAUCAUAUAAUUAUGAAAGCUAUAAGCGCUGUGAGAGAGCUUUGCGUCCCAUUAGCUAGUUGGAGAGGUAACGGCUCACCAAGGCGAUGAUGGGUAGCCGGCCUGAGAGGGUGAACGGCCACAAGGGGACUGAGACACGGCCCUUACUCCUACGGGAGGCAGCAGUGGGGAAUAUUGGACAAUGGACCAAGAGUCUGAUCCAGCAAUUCUGUGUGCACGAUGACGUUUUUCGGAAUGUAAAGUGCUUUCAGUUGGGAAGAAAAAAAUGACGGUACCAACAGAAGAAGUGACGGCUAAAUACGUG
rnacentral:rRNA from 1 species